UCUGUUGGAAUUGUUGUGGGAGUCUCAAAGUCGGCAAAUCUGCCAAAUUCUGCUUGAAGUGUCGUGUAAUUGCAGUCUGCAAACAGUUUCCCGUCUUUUUGGGUUUGGCGCACAACUAGGCGGGCCAAAAUUUAUUAUGAACCUAAAUUAAUUUGCGGGCUGGAUCCAA